rnacentral:lncRNA from 1 species
AGCGGCCGGGGCGGAGAGGAAACCUGCGCCCAGAGCCACGUGCUGGAGCCGGCGCGGGGUGGGUGGCUCGCGGAGGCGUGGGGGAGGGAGAGGCCGCUGCUGGGAAAGGCCCCAGGCCACGUUUCUGGGGGAGGAGAUGCGCCGCGAGUGGACACGCUCGGCCCAAGGCCAGCCGGGGACCUUCGUGUCUGGAGAGGGCGGCCCAAGAUCCCUCUGAUGGGAGCAGCUCUGGCCUAGCCUCGGACGGACGGCCCUGCCUGCUCAGGGAUGGCCUUGCAUAAAUGCCCUGGCCUAAAGGAAAUGGCAACCCACUCCAGUGUUCUUGCCUGGAGAAUCCCAGGGACGGGGGAGCCUGGUGGGCUGCCGUCUCUGGGGUCGCACAGAGUCGGACAAGACUGAAGCGACUUAGCAGCAGCAGCAGCAGCAACCUGGUUGCCUCCUCUGACCGCGGUGGGAUGGGGUUGAGGUUGAAGGGUCUUCUAUCUCACCCCGCCCCUGCCCACCACCACCUCAAAGAGGAUAUCUGUCCAGGGGUCGAAGAAUUUGAGAGACUGAGUAAACUGGGGGUGGGUGGCCAUCCAGUGAAGGUGAGGAGAGUGGUAGGAAGAAAAAAAGGAAGCACAAAAAGAAGGAAGGAGAAUCUUAAGAACCUGCCAAGGACGUAACUGCAAUCCUUGGAAAGCCACGGCUCAGCAAGUGAUGCCAGCCCCAGGAGGGGAUGUCCGGGUCUCAUCUUGCAGCCAGAAGGAGCACAACAGCUGGGUGCCCAGAACCCAUCCGGGUCUGUGCAGAGCUGUUUGUCAGUGCGGCCUCCCAGGACCACGUGAGCUGCCUCUCACCCUGUAUGACCCUCUUUCAGACCCAGGCAGAGCAGAGCUCCCGGCCCCCUUCCCCUCGUGCCCAGCCUUCUCCCAAGUGUGCAGGCGGGUGGCUCAUUCCUGCCGGGUCAAAACCACAUUGAGCUGGACUCCUGGGAAGUUCUCUCUGGACCUCUGUAGAAGAGUGCCUGGUGUUGUGUGCUGCCCACUGCAGAGACCAAACACUGGUGACCACAGAAGACAUCUGGCAAGUCUAGAAAAUGGUGAACAGCUAACGUUUAGUUCCUGCCUCCUCUGCUACCCCCAAGACUUGGCUCAUGACUGAAAUUUCGACAAGAAAAAAAUGCUGAAAGGAAACAGCUGAACUUCUCUGUGUCCACACCAGGAACCCCAUCUCCUGGGCUCUCAACCCUCCUCUCACAGAGCCAAGUGACCUCUUGGGCAAGACUGUGGUGGUCUCGGCAGUACUUUGGGGAUUGUCCCUGGUCCCUGCUCUCGGAUGGCUCACUUGGUAAUUCCUGACAGACUGCAAACCAGCCUCUCAAACUCAGCCUGUGUGGUUGGUUGAGUUUGGUUAAACUGGAGGAUAUAGGCCGCCAUGAUGCCCCACGCCUACCCCCCCAGGUGACACUGUGACUUGUCCCUGCCCCCUUAGCCUUUCUUAGAUGUCUCCCAUAGAGGGCUCAAGCCUUCAUUAUCUUGGGCAUUUCUCAGAGUGUCUCUAGCACUCCAGCCCCCUUGGGCCACCAUUCCACCCCCUCAGCACCUCACAGCAGUAGGAUGACAAGAAACGUCUGAGUAUGGUGGGGAGAGCGUGGGGGCUGGGAGGUGAGAGGGAAGGCUCUGUUUCUUCCAGUCAUGAGCUUCCUCUAUUGACUCACGCAUAUGUGUUGGCUGGAUGGGGAAACAUGGGAGGAGAUGGAGGCUGGACGUGGUAAUACCAGCCCAGUGGCUCUUGGCUCCAAGUCUGCUCACAGAUGUUUGUUAACCAGACGUCGUUAGAAAGGACUUCCAAGCUCUACUUGCACCUCCUCUGCUGAGGGUUGACUCAGUAGCAUUUCUCAGAAGCCCCUUUCUUCUGUCACAGCUUGCAACUCCUCUGAGACUCCAGAAACAUCCAGCCUACGCAAUGUCUUUUCUUGACUGAAGUGUGGCUGUUGGAACCGUACUGCCUGGGUUCCCAUCCUGGCUCUGAACCCUCUCAGACUUGGGGGUGAUCCUCAAUCCCUCUCUGCCUCUGAUCCCUUGCCUCUAACCUGGGGAUGAGAGCAACUAUAGCCUGGAGUUGUUGAGAUUGCAAUGUUGUCAGCUGUAAAAGACUUAAA